rnacentral:rRNA from 1 species
UCCGCCUUCACGCAGUCGAGUUGCAGACUGCGAUCCGAACUGAGACCGGUUUUCAGGGAUCCGCUCCGCGUCGCCGCGUCGCAUCCCGUUGUACCGGCCAUUGUAGCAUGCGUGAAGCCCUGGAGGUAAGGGGCAUGAUGAUCUGACGUCAUCCCCACCUUCCUCCG